UCCCUUCUGCUGAUGCACAUGGCCUGUAAAUUCUAGAACCAGCAACCUGCAUGCACUUACACAUUGUACUUACUACCAUAUUUUAUUGCCUGUGCUCAGAUCAGUCUAUGCCUUCUAAGAUUUACGUAUUUUUAUAGCACUCAUCUUCAAAAACCUAUUGAUGCACAUAUACUUCCAAAUAGAAUGUACUGAAAUACCAGGUAAACUACCGCAGCAAUAAAGUCAGAUCCGUCCAAUCGUCGCCCUGAGUACGACGACAGCUGUUUCCAGGGAAGACGGCUAUCAGCCGAGCUAAUCAGAGACAUCAGGGGAGAGCAGCCUUCAUUUCUCUCCACGGCUCACGCGACCCUUGAAUCACAGUGACUAACCUCAUUGCCAAAAUAAUGUCAUCCCCAAAAAGGCAUUUGCCAGAACAGCU